GCAUGUUCUAUUCUUCACUCACUUCAACACUAUCACAUUGCAUAUAAACAUUCUGGGUUGAAUAUUCUUCAAUCCAAAAUUCAAAGCAUGAAAUAAUAAAGUGAUCAAACCCUACGUAUUGCAUACGUGGGGGACCCCACGACCUGUGUUAGGCAAAUCGAAACCCUUGAACCUUUUUUCCUAACCAGUCUAGUCACUAUCCUUGGUAUAGCAACAGUUUUCAUAAUCUUCCUAGGUGGUUUUGGACUUUGGUUUACCCACUGUUGAACCAGCAGGAGGCCUUUCCGUGCUUUUCUUGACGUUGGUCUUCAAUUGGAAAGCGUGUUUUUACUGGGAGCUUUGGAUGGAGUGAGAAAAGAUUUGCUGGUUUUAACAAAGUCUUGAUUGAUGCUGAUGUACAUCUAUGGCAGGCACAUACAUGAAUACAGACUUUAAUGGAAAGACUCACUUCUCUGACGGCAGGUGUGUUGAACCAGACAAAGGUUCAUGCCAGCCACCAAAGGAGCACAAGAUUUAGGCCAGGACAUUGUGUUUGGGUCUUACUGAUUUAUGUUUUCUUUCUUGAAUGUUUCGGCCAGCUGAGUUUUUGUUAGACUAUCUCCAAUGGGAGAUCCUUAAUCUCAUCCAAGAUGACUUGGCAAAAAUCCUUAUUUUUGGACCCAAUGAAGAACAUUUGCUUUUAAUCUAUCCAAAAGAUAAAUCCUUCUGCAAGGACUUCACUUAUUUUGAUUAAUGUGCCAAUUUCUUUAUAUCAUACUUUUUCUUUCAACAUUUGUUGAAGAAGAA